GACGAACGCUGGCGGCGUGCUUAACACAUGCAAGUCGAACGGAAAGGCCUCUUUCGGGGGGUACUCGAGUGGCGAACGGGUGAGUAACACGUGAGUAACCUGCCCUUGACUUUGGGAUAACUUCUGGAAACUGGGGCUAAUACCGGAUAGGAGCUCCUGCUGCAUGGUGGGGGUUGGAAAGUUUCGGCGGUUGGGGAUGGACUCGCGGCUAUCAGCUUGUUGGUGGGGGAGUGGCUUACCAAGGCUUUGACGGGUAGCCGGCCUGAGAGGGUGACCGGCCACAUUGGGACUGAGAUACGGCCCAGACUCCUACGGGAGGCAGCAGUGGGGAAUAUUGCACAAUGGGUGGAAGCCUGAUGCAGCAACGCCGUGUGCGGGAUGACGGCCUUCGGGUUGUAAACCGCUUUCGCUCAUGACGAAGCUUUGUGUGACGGUAGUGGGUAAAGAAGCACCGGCUAACUACGUG
rnacentral:rRNA from 1 species